CCCAGCAUUCCAUGUUACUGGGAAACUCAUAGUCUGGUUAGUUCUCUAGGAUCUUGAAUACCCUAAGGAUCUGAAGACAAAUUCAUCCAUCCCAAGAAAAAAAUAGGGAUAUAUAUAUAUAUAUGUGUAUAAAACUGUUGAUGAGGCUGUGCUACCACUCUCAAGGUAGUUCCUCAAGGAAAACUUGUAGGGACCAUCUUAGCUCUUGGAAGUUCAGUUGGUAAUCCUUAGUCUGGUCCUCCUUUUUAAAGGGGAGCAUUUCAGAAGAACUGGGCUGAUUUCUGGCUCUCAGCUUCACAGGGAAGGGAGCACAUCUCAGCACGGAACAGGGAGUGCCUUGCUUGGAGGUCGUGAGUUACUUCCGAGUAAAUGGAGUAAAUUAAAUAAACAGCUGCCACUUUUUACGCUUUUUGCACUUUACACUGCUCCAGCCUGGCAGUCACCCUCGUGCUUAUUGUAACAUCUGACAGCACAAGGCCACUGCCAACCUCCAAGGGAAAAAAUACCCCAG
rnacentral:lncRNA from 1 species